rnacentral:rRNA from 1 species
CCGUAUAGGGGAGCCGGAGGGAAACCGAGUCUUAACCGGGCGUUAAGUUGCAGGGUAUAGACCCGAAACCCGGUGAUCUAGCCAUGGGCAGGUUGAAGGUUGGGUAACACUAACUGGAGGACCGAACCGACUAAUGUUGAAAAAUUAGCGGAUGACCUGUGGCUGGGGGUGAAAGGCCAAUCAAACCGGGAGAUAGCUGGUUCUCCCCGAAAGCUAUUUAGGUAGCGCCUCGUGAAUUCAUCUCCGGGGGUAGAGCACUGUUUCGGCUAGGGGGCCAUCCCGGCUUACCAACCCGAUGCAAACUGCGAAUACCGGAGAAUGUUAUCACGGGAGACACACGGCGGGUGCUAACGUCCGUCGUGAAGAGGGAAACAACCCAGACCGCCAGCUAAGGUCCCAAAGUCAUGGUUAAGUGGGAAACGAUGUGGGAAGGCCCAGACAGCCAGGAUGUUGGCUUAGAAGCAGCCAUCAUUUAAAGAAAGCGUAAUAGCUCACUGGUCGAGUCGGCCUGCGCGGAAGAUGUAACGGGGCUAAACCAUGCACCGAAGCUGCGGCAGCGACGCUGAUGCGUUGUUGGGUAGGGGAGCGUUCUGUAAGCCUGCGAAGGUGGCCUGUGAGGGUUGCUGGAGGUAUCAGAAGUGCGAAUGCUGACAUAAGUAACGAUAAAGCGGGUGAAAAGCCCGCUCGCCGGAAGACCAAGGGUUCCUGUCCAACGUUAAUCGGGGCAGGGUGAGUCGACCCCUAAGGCGAGGCCGAAAGGCGUAGUCGAUGGGAAACGGGUUAAUAUUCCCGUACUUGGUGUUACUGCGAAGGGGGGACGGAGAAGGCUAUGUUGGCCGGGCGACGGUU